rnacentral:rRNA from 1 species
UACGUAGGGUGCGAGCGUUAAUCGGAAUUACUGGGCGUAAAGCGUGCGCAGGCGGUUUUGUAAGCCAGAUGUGAAAGCCCCGGGCUUAACCUGGGAAUGGCAUUUGGGACUGCAAGGCUUGAGUGCGGCAGAGGAGACUGGAAUUCCCGGUGUAGCAGUGAAAUGCAUAGAUAUUAUCAAGAACACCGAUUGCGAAGGCAGCUUACUAAGGAGUUACUGACACUGAGGCACGAAAGCGUGGGGAUCAAACAGG